GAUGAACGCUAGCUACAGGCUUAACACAUGCAAGUCGAGGGGCAGCAUGAAUAUUGGCUUGCCAAUAUUUGAUGGCGACCGGCGCACGGGUGAGUAACACGUAUCCAACCUUCCGGUUACUCGGGGAUAGGCUUUCGAAAGAAAGAUUAAUACCCGAUGUUGUGUAUCUUUCUCCUGAAAGAUACGCCAAAGGAUUCCGGUAACCGAUGGGGAUGCGUUCCAUUAGGCAGUUGGCGGGGUAACGGCCCACCAAACCUUCGAUGGAUAGGGGUUCUGAGAGGAAGGUCCCCCACAUUGGAACUGAGACACGGUCCAAACUCCUACGGGAGGCAGCAGUGAGGAAUAUUGGUCAAUGGACGGAAGUCUGAACCAGCCAAGUAGCGUGAAGGAUGACUGCCCUCUGGGUUGUAAACUUCUUUUAUACGGGAAUAACAUGAGGUACGCGUACCUUAUUGCAUGUACCGUUAUGAAUAAGCAUCGGCUAACUCCGUGCCAGCAGCCGCGGUAAUACGGAGGAUGCGAGCGUUAUCCGGAUUUAUUGGGUUUAAAGGGAGCGUAGGUGGGAUAUUAAGUCAGCUGUGAAAGUUUGGGGCUCAACCUUAAAAUUGCAGUUGAUACUGGUUUCCUUGAGUACGGUACAGGUGGGCGGAAUUCGUGGUGUAGCGGUGAAAUGCUUAGAUAUCACGAAGAACUCCGAUCGCGAAGGCAGCUCACCGGGCCGGAACUGACACUGAUGCUCGAAAGUGCGGGUAUCAAACAGGAUUAGAUACCCUGGUAGUCCGCACAGUAAACGAUGAAUACUCGCUGUUUGCGGUACACUGUAAGCGGCCAAGCGAAAGCGUUAAGUAUUCCACCUGGGGAGUACGCCGGCAACGGUGAAACUCAAAGGAAUUGACGGGGGCCCGCACAAGCGGAGGAACAUGUGGUUUAAUUCGAUGAUACGCGAGGAACCUUACCCGGGCUUAAAUUGCGCUGGCUUUUACCGGAAACGGUAUUUUCUUCGGACCAGCGUGAAGGUGCUGCAUGGUUGUCGUCAGCUCGUGCCGUGAGGUGUCGGCUUAAGUGCCAUAACGAGCGCAACCCUUAUCUUUAGUUACUAACAGUUUUGCUGAGGACUCUAAAGAGACUGCCGUCGUAAGAUGCGAGGAAGGUGGGGAUGACGUCAAAUCAGCACGGCCCUUACGUCCGGGGCUACACACGUGUUACAAUGGGGAGCACAGCAGGUUGCUACACGGCGACGUGAUGCCAAUCCGUAAAACUCCUCUCAGUUCGGAUCGAAGUCUGCAACCCGACUUCGUGAAGCUGGAUUCGCUAGUAAUCGCGCAUCAGCCACGGCGCGGUGAAUACGUUCCCGGGCCU
rnacentral:rRNA from 1 species